GGGGAUGAUUUUGGUUUCGACUCCGUUGAUCAAACCAGGGGAAGCGUGCCGGUGCAGGCUGGAGACCACCGUAAGCGUCGCAGCAAACAAUAAACGCAGAGAAGAACUCUCAGCGUGACUACGCCCUCGCUGCCUAAGUAGCGACCGCGUGUCUGUCAGGCCGGGCUUGUCCCCGUCCCGGUACCUGGCAUCGACUCAGGGGACUUGCCUUCCGGCCUUGUUGGUGGGGCGCGGAAGGGACUUUUUCCACCAACUGGGCCCGUCAUCCGGACAUGUUUGCCUGAUCCGGAGGGCCGAGUAGAGGCGUAGCGCAAACUGCGCACGGAGAAGCCCUGGUGCGGUGACGGAGGACCCGGGUUCAAUUCCCGGCAUCUCCACCG
rnacentral:tmRNA from 1 species